rnacentral:rRNA from 1 species
GACGAACGCUGGCGGCGUGCCUAAUACAUGCAAGUCGAGCGAACAGACGAGGAGCUUGCUCCUCUGACGUUAGCGGCGGACGGGAGAGUAACACAUGGUUAACCUACCUAUAAGACUGGGAUAAUUUCGGCAAACCGGAGCUAAUACCGGAUAAUAUAUUGAACCGCAUGGUUCAAUAGUUAAAGACGGUUUUGCUGUCACUUAUAGAUGGAUCCGCGCCGCAUUAGCUAGUUGGUAAGGUAACGGCUUACCAAGGCAACGACGCGUAGCCGACCUGAGAGGGUGGUCGGCCACACUGGAACUGAGGCUCGGUCCAGACUCCUGCGCGAGGCAGCAGUAGGGAAUCUUCCGCAAUGCGCGAGAGCUUGACGGUGCAACACCGCGGGAGUGAUGAAGGUGUUCGGAUCGUAAAGCUCUGUUAUUAGUGAAGUUCAAAUGUGUAAGUAACUAUGCACGUCUUGACGGUACCGAGACAGAAAGCCACGGCUAACUCCGUG